GUGUUCACUUUGGCAGCACAUAUACUAAAAUUGGAAUUAUACAGAGAAAAUUAGCAUGACCCCUGUGCAAGGAUGACAUGCACAUUCGUGAAGUGUUCCGUAUUUUU
ensembl:snRNA U6 U6 spliceosomal RNA